UAUAUGAGGUCGCCCACUCUUGCCCUGCGCCCGACGCGACCACCAUACCUUAUUGCAAGUUUCUUUAGAUUUAGAGAUGGUGUCAGGCAGUAGAAGAACAACGGCGCCUCCAGCCCCGCUAAGUGCAGCUAUAGUCAUCAUUGGCAAGUGGUCAUUCAGUUUUGCCUGGACAGAAAUAUUGAUGAUGAUGAUGAUGAUAUUAAUUCUCACAUAGAUCAUUAUUAUUCGAAAAUGCUUCACUUUCACAGGGUCUGUUAAUUAAAAGUCAAAAUUUAUAUGUUAUCAAAAGACAGCUUUGUGCAGUUUCUUAUACGAAACUUGUAUUUCUAAAAGACUUCUUUCUAUUCCCAAAAAAAAACAAAAUAUUUUGUUCGUCUUUAGAAAUGGAAAGAAAACUAUAUAUAUAACAAUUAGGCUUAGCGAUGUCGUAGAUCUUUGUCUUCGACUCUUGAAGAGGCAAUUUGUGUAAUUUUUGUUAAUUGUGUAACUAGCUUCAACAACAAAUAUUUUUCAAUAGUA